CCCUUAGAUGUUCUGGGCCGCACGCGCGCUACACUGUUCGACGCAGCGAGUCUUAACCUUGACCGAAAGGUUUGGGUAAUCUUCAGCAAAGUCGAACGUGAUGGGGAUCGAUCAUUGCAAUUAUUGAUCGUGAACGAGGAAUUCCUAGUAAGUGCAAGUCAUCAGCUUGCGCUGGUUACGUCCCUGCCCUUUGUACACACCGCCCGUCGCUACUACCGAUUGAAUGGUUUAGUGAGAUCUCUGGAUUGACGCUGGCUAGGGGGCGACCCUUGGCCAGACUGUUGAGAAACUGCUCAAACUUGAUCAUUUAGAGGAAGUAAAAGUCGUAACA
rnacentral:rRNA from 1 species